CCUAGUACUCAUAGUGCAGGUAG
rnacentral:miRNA from 1 species